UACGGGGGGGGCAAGCGUUGUUCGGAAUUACUGGGCGUAAAGGGCUCGUAGGCGGCCAACUAAGUCAGACGUGAAAUCCCUCGGCUUAACCGGGGAACUGCGUCUGAUACUGGAUGGCUUGAGUUUGGGAGAGGGAUGCGGAAUUCCAGGUGUAGCGGUGAAAUGCGUAGAUAUCAGGAGGAACACCUGUGGCGAAGGCGUCCAUCUGGCCCGUUACUGACGCUGAUGCGCGAAAGCUAGGGGAGCAAACGGG
rnacentral:rRNA from 1 species